rnacentral:rRNA from 1 species
GAUGAACGCCGGCGGCGUGCCUAAUACAUGCAAGUCGAGCGAACGGACGAGAAGCUUGCUUCUCUGAUGUUAGCGGCGGACGGGUGAGUAACACGUGGAUAACCUACCUAUAAGACUGGGAUAACUUCGGGAAACCGGAGCUAAUACCGGAUAAUAUUUUGAACCGCAUGGUUCAAAAGUGAAAGACGGUCUUGCUGUCACUUAUAGAUGGAUCCGCGCUGCAUUAGCUAGUUGGUAAGGUAACGGCUUACCAAGGCAACGAUGCAUAGCCGACCUGAGAGGGUGAUCGGCCACACUGGAACUGAGACACGGUCCAGACUCCUACGGGAGGCAGCAGUAGGGAAUCUUCCGCAAUGGGCGAAAGCCUGACGGAGCAACGCCGCGUGAGUGAUGAAGGUCUUCGGAUCGUAAAACUCUGUUAUUAGGGAAGAACAUAUGUGUAAGUAACUGUGCACAUCUUGACGGUACCUAAUCAGAAAGCCACGGCUAACUACGUGCCAGCAGCCGCGGUAAUACGUAGGUGGCAAGCGUUAUCCGGAAUUAUUGGGCGUAAAGCGCGCGUAGGCGGUUUUUUAAGUCUGAUGUGAAAGCCCACGGCUCAACCGUGGAGGGUCAUUGGAAACUGGAAAACUUGAGUGCAGAAGAGGAAAGUGGAAUUCCAUGUGUAGCGGUGAAAUGCGCAGAGAUAUGGAGGAACACCAGUGGCGAAGGCGACUUUCUGGUCUGUAACUGACGCUGAUGUGCGAAAGCGUGGGGAUCAAACAGGAUUAGAUACCCUGGUAGUCCACGCCGUAAACGAUGAGUGCUAAGUGUUAGGGGGUUUCCGCCCCUUAGUGCUGCAGCUAACGCAUUAAGCACUCCGCCUGGGGAGUACGACCGCAAGGUUGAAACUCAAAGGAAUUGACGGGGACCCGCACAAGCGGUGGAGCAUGUGGUUUAAUUCGAAGCAACGCGAAGAACCUUACCAAAUCUUGACAUCCUUUGACAACUCUAGAGAUAGAGCCUUCCCCUUCGGGGGACAAAGUGACAGGUGGUGCAUGGUUGUCGUCAGCUCGUGUCGUGAGAUGUUGGGUUAAGUCCCGCAACGAGCGCAACCCUUAAGCUUAGUUGCCAUCAUUAAGUUGGGCACUCUAAGUUGACUGCCGGUGACAAACCGGAAGAAGGUGGGGAUGACGUCAAAUCAUCAUGCCCCUUAUGAUUUGGGCUACACACGUGCUACAAUGGACAAUACAAAGGGCAGCGAAACCGCGAGGUCAAGCAAAUCCCAUAAAGUUGUUCUCAGUUCGGAUUGUAGUCUGCAACUCGACUACAUGAAGCUGGAAUCGCUAGUAAUCGUAGAUCAGCAUGCUACGGUGAAUACGUUCCCGGGUCU